UGUCAAGAGUCUCGGCGUCGUUUUGGCGAGCAGGUUUCUUUUGCCUCAUUGAAGGUGAAGGAACAUG
rfam:Mesorhizobium loti strain TFLA 01-765 contig_24, whole genome shotgun sequence.